rnacentral:rRNA from 1 species
GACGAACGCUGGCGGCGUGCUUAACACAUGCAAGUCGAACGGAGUGGCGAACGGGUGAGUAACACGUGGGUGACCUGCCCUGCACUUCGGGAUAAGCCUGGGAAACUGGGUCUAAUACCGGAUAGUGGGGGAUGGGCCCGCGGCCUAUCAGCUUGUUGGUGGGGUAAUGGCCUACCAAGGCGGCGACGGGUAGCCGGCCGUGGAGGGUGGACGGCCACCGUGGGACGGAGACACGGCCCAGACUCCUACGGGAGGCAGCAGUGUGGAGUAGUGCACAAUCGGCGGAAGCCUGAUGCAGCGACGCCGCGUGGGGGAUGACUGCCUUCGGGUUGUAAACUCCUUUCACCAUCGACGCGGUAGAUGAAGAAGAAGCACCGGCUAACUACGUGCCAGCCGCCGCGGUAAUAC